CUGGCUGACAGCAUGCGCGGAUGUUACUGGAUAUUUGAAGACUGUUGGAGGGAAUCUUUCUGGGGGAGAAGAUGAAAGACUCCAGCUGAAGUCUGGAGAUGCAGACAUGGAUCCUCAUGCCUUGACCCCUGAAGUUCUGGGAUUAUGGUGUACACAACCAAGUCUGGCCAUCAGGACCUUCUUACGGAGAAAAAGAAAAAGGACCUAAGAAGGAAUUCCUUUCACUCACUGGACAAGUCCUCAGUGAGCUCCUAUAUACUCUGGGGGCAGAUUCUAGUCACCCUCAGAGAGCUCACGGGCCUGGACAAAGACAAAGAACAAAUGACCAAGCCACCUCAAAGUGGUGACACCGUGCAAACCUGAAGCCAUGCAGUUUGAAUAAAGCACAAAGUGUGAA